GAUGAAGAACGCAGCGAAAUGCGAUAAGUAGUGUGAAUUGCAGAAUUCAGUGAAUCAUCGAAUCUUUGAACGCACAUUGCGCCCUUUGGUAUUCCUUAGGGCAUGCCUGUUCGAGCGUCAUUUAAACCUUCAAGCUAAGCUUGGUGUUGGGUGACUGUCCGCCUCACGGCGGACUCGCCUCAAAAUUAUUGGCGGCCGGUACAUUGGCUUCGAGCGCAGCAGAAACGCGAACUCGGGCCCGUCGUAUUGGCUCCCAGAAGCUAUCUUCACAAUUUUGACCUCGGAUCAGGUAGGGAUACCCGCUGAACUUAAGCAUAUCAAAAGCGGAGGA
rnacentral:misc_RNA from 1 species